CAGUCGCCGCGGUAAUACGAAGGGGGCUAGCGUUGUUCGGAUUUACUGGGCGUAAAGCGCACGUAGGCGGACUUUUAAGUCAGGGGUGAAAUCCCGGGGCUCAACCCCGGAACUGCCUUUGAUACUGGAAGUCUUGAGUAUGGUAGAGGUGAGUGGAAUUCCGAGUGUAGAGGUGAAAUUCGUAGAUAUUCGGAAGAACACCGGUGGCGAAGGCGGCGACCUGGUCCAUUACUGACGCUGAGGCGCGAAAGCGUGGGGAGCAAACAGGAUUAGAUACCCCGGUAGUCCCUGUCUCUUAUAC
rnacentral:rRNA from 1 species